AUCCAGCUGACUAGUCCCAAACAGGACGAAAUGCGCGUCCUGGAU
rfam:Schistosoma haematobium scaffold1439_3, whole genome shotgun sequence.